rnacentral:tRNA from 2 species
GGGCCUGUAGCUCAGUUGGUUAGAGCGCGCGCUUGAUAAGCGUGAGGUCGGAGGUUCAAGUCCUCCCAGGCCCA